GGUUGUGUGGUGUAGCGGUAGCACCCUGGAUUCUGAUGUUAAAAAGUCUGGAUUUUCCAGUAACCUGAGUUCGAUCCUCAGCACGACCU